UCCCAAGUGGUCUAGUGGUUAGGAUUCCACGCUCUCACCGUGGCGGCCGGGGUUCGCUUCCCCGCUUGGGAA
rnacentral:tRNA from 1 species